rnacentral:lncRNA from 1 species
GAGGAAGGAAGGAGGGCGCGGGGCGCGGGGAGGGAGCCGCGCGGGGCCGGAGCUCCCACGCCUCGAGUCCCGAGGGACCGGGGGCCAAGGGCGCAGAGAGCGGCAAGGAGGAAAAAAAUGCCUUAUUUUGAGCCAUACACACACCCAUAUUUGUCUCUGGCAGAAAUAAUUGUUGAAUGCAUGUUGUUGAACAUCAGAAGAAACCCAUCUAGAAUGUAGGCUGCUAUUGAAACGUGGGUGAGAGUGGAUGAAUGAAUACAGAGAGGUUACAGCCCAGGUUGGUGUAAAAACUUGAUGAGUUGAAAAAUGCCCACGGCUUUGGUUGAGUCCUCAUCCUUUCAAAAGUAAAGCAAGUAUGGUAUAAAGCAAAUGUAUGCAUUUCAAAGAGGUAGUUGAGUGAUAAAUGAUCCAGCAGUAAAGUUGGGAGCAAGAAGUUGUGUUGACAUUUUUCUUACCCUGUGAGUUAGGGAAUGUGGGAGAAAGAGUAGUCACCAUUGCACAGGCUUUUGAGGAAAGUGGCAUCAUUUAGGAGAAAGUUGGGUUUCAGUAAGGGCUAAGAUGAGGGAAGAGAACUUGUGGAAAAGUAAAAAAAUACUGGGAAAUCUAGCUGCAAUAAGCUAGGGAAGUCUAAUUGAAUGUUCCGAGGGACUUAGUAGCAGGAUUUGUGAUGGGCAGACCAGUGAGUAGCAGGUUCAGGGGCAUUUAAUGGUACCAGAGGAGUGUGUGGGAUAAAGAAGUCAAGGUUCUCUCCUUUACGCACCUGAUGCAAUCAAUACACUACCAUAACCUUUAGUACUUAGUUGUGUUCAUCUGUUUCCACAUCUAUUUCUUUUCAACAACCUUCCAGGGCUCUACCUUACACGUUAUUGUAUCUGUACCUGGCACACAGAAAGCACCAAUAAGUAUUUAUUGAAUGAGGAGUGUGGGAAAGAACAGAUGAAUGGAGAGUUGUGGCUAAUCGGCAAGGCUAGGCUAAUAUGGUUGGGAAAAAGGUGGAGGUGGAUAUGGGUGAUCCAAGAAAACUUACUUGAAGAAGUUUCCGGAAGCACCUUCCUGGGCCUGAAGCCCAACCUUAUAACUCAGCACUAUAAGCUGAGGCCCUAAAUCCUUGUCUGGUUCCAAUUAUCCCCUUUCCCCCAGGGCUAGACUCAACAAAAACUGGCACCUCACCAAAAAGUCUACAAUUCUGACAUCCGCUAAUGUAAGGAGCCAUAGAUGUGUGUGUGUGUGUGUGUGUGUGAUGUGCCCAACCUUCCUCCUCCCCCAUCCAGCUACAAAUUCUGGCCAGUCCUGCUUGGUCUUUUUUUUUCCUCCUGGUCUCUGACAGUUCUUAGCCAGAUAGAUUCUUUUGAGCUCUGAAAGCAGAAUGGGGGAAUUUGGAGAGGGUCUGGCAACAAGGGUUGGUGGCAAUGGUUUUCCCUCAGAGCUUAAGGUAGGAGAAGCAUGAGAGCUCCAUUUUUUGAGAGAGGGGAGGGAGAAAUAAUUAGUGUAAAAAUUGUGUAAAACAUAAUCUAAGUACCUAUUAACUAAAACAUUGUAUGGCUGUGUAAGUUUCAGAUACUGUGCUCCCCUGUGAGGUUGGGGAGGGAGCUUUUAUGAGGGGAUGGUACAAAUCUCAACAUAAGGAAGUUACUAUGUCUCAGAACACCUGAAAAGAAUCUAUAAAUUAUAAAUAGUACAUCCAACGCUUCUUUAAGUGAUCUAAAUUCUUGUCGUGUUGGGGAAGGUUCAAUGUACUUAAUUUCAGAUAAAUCAUAUUUACACAUCUCUCUUUGCAAGUCCCUUCCUAAGUGUUAAGGGAUGGAGAAAUACUUUACACCCAGUUUAUUUGACAGACACUUUUCUUUAACCCUAUGAGAUGAGUGUUUCAUAUUUCUUCUGAAAUACUUGCUGACUAUGAUCUCAGAUGGAGCUACUUUUAAAAGAGUGUCCUCUGAAUAUGACAAGCUGGAUUUUGAGAGUAAGUACUAAAGUGGACUCUUGAAUCCAGGUGUUUUGUUUUAGUAUUUUACAUCUGCGUUGCAUCAGACACAGCAGAGGUUAGCAUUCCGUUUUUUCUGCUUUCAUAGUCCUAUUCCAGGUCUGUAAAUUUGAAAAAGUGGUUUAUAUUUUCAUCAUGAAGAAUAUUUGUGGAGCAUACAAUUGUAGAUUACACACAACAAAAUUUAAAUUCUAGCCCCAUUUCUAUUACCCUUCAUUUACCAGCCAACAUGUAAGAAGCAUAGAGUCAUGUUAAUACUAGCUAAAGAGGGAUCCCUGGGUGGCGCAGUGGUUUGGCGCCUGCCUUUGGCCCAGGGCGCAAUCCUGGAGACCCGGGAUCGAAUCCCACGUCGGGCUCCCGGUGCAUGGAGCCUGCUUCUCCCUCUGCCUGUGUCUCUGCCUCUCUCUCUCUCUCUCUCUCUGUGACUAUC